UUCACCCAUCUCACGUUCUCAUAUUAAUUUUAUCUUUUCCUUACAAUAUAAAAACAAAGUCUCCAAUUAAUUAUCUCUUCCAUUAGAUCUCAGUAUCGUUUCUACUCUGUGAUUGAGAAGAACAGAUGCCACGUGGCAGAAGGCUUUGGAUUGCGUGAGGAGAAGAGGGUAAUAGCUUCUUGAAGUGAGAGAAGCCCAAUGAAUGCUCUGUGUGUGUUAAAAGUCUGAAAACAUUACUCCUAUUUCAAUCACUGGGGCACAAAAUAGUCAAGUCCUCAGCUUGGGAUCCUCGAUACGUUCGAUUCUAUUGAUACAGACUGGAGUAUUAUUUUUCAAAAAGAAUAGAGAGUAUGAAUAAGCUAAAAACAUCAAGCUCCGAAUUGGACUUGGAUCGACCCAAUCUCGAAGAUUAUCUUCCAACUGGAUCCAUCCCAGAACCCCAUGGCAAGCUUCGCCUGCGCGAUUUAAUUGAUAUUUCUCCCACCCUAACUGAGGCUGCUGGUGCCAUUGUUGACGAUUCUUUCACCAGAUGCUUCAAGUCAAAUCCACCAGAACCUUGGAACUGGAACAUUUAUUUGUUCCCUUUAUGGUGCUUGGGGGUUGUUGUUAGAUAUGGGAUUCUUUUCCCUAUAAGAGUUAUUGUCUUGACAAUAGGAUGGAUAAUAUUCCUCUCUUGCUAUAUCCCGGUGCAUUUCCUGCUGAAAGGACACGAUAAGUUCAGGAAAAAGCUUGAGAGAUGUCUGGUGGAGCUGAUAUGCAGUUUCUUUGUUGCAUCUUGGACUGGGGUUGUCAAAUACCAUGGUCCACGGCCUAGCAUACGACCUAAGCAGGUUUUUGUGGCGAAUCACACGUCAAUGAUAGAUUUUAUUGUCCUAGAGCAGAUGACUGCAUUUGCAGUGAUCAUGCAGAAGCAUCCUGGAUGGGUUGGACUACUGCAGAGUACCAUUUUAGAAGGUGUUGGAUGUAUCUGGUUCAACCGCUCAGAAGCCAAGGAUCGCGAAAUUGUAGCACGAAAGUUGAGGCAACAUGUUGAAGGGGCCGAUAACAACCCUCUUCUUAUAUUCCCCGAGGGAACUUGCGUAAAUAACCACUACACUGUCAUGUUCAAAAAGGUUUAAAUUUUAUGGUGUUUCUGGUNAAUCAAGUACAACAAAAUUUUUGUUGACGCCUUUUGGAAUAGUAGAAAACAAUCCUUCACAACGCACCUCUUGCAGCUCAUGACAUCUUGGGCUGUUGUCUGUGAUGUUUGGUACCUGGAGCCUCAGAACAUAAGACCUGGGGAGACUCCAAUCGAGUUUGCAGAGAGGGUGAGGGACAUCAUUUCUGCUAGAGCAGGUCUUAAAAAGGUUCCUUGGGAUGGAUAUUUAAAAUACUCUCGUCCUAGCCCCAAGCACCGAGAGAGGAAGCAACAGAGUUUUGCAGAAUCAGUGCUGCGUCGCCUGGAAGAGAAGUAGAGAAUUGGAUGUAUGCGUUGUCUCCAUGUUCACUUUUGCUUUGAGUUUGAUCUUAUUCUUAAGUUUAUUUUUUUGUGGCCUAUAGGCUAUAGCUGUUCAAAUUGGAAUAGUUGCACAAUUUGGCUUUCAUCAUUUUCAUUAACCACAAUAAAGAGAAUAUUAGAACAAACUUGGCAGCAAUUGUAUGUGAAGCCCUUUGCUUAGUCUUAAUGAUUUUUACUUUGGAUGUCCACGCAAUAUACAAUAUUGUUUCUUGUGGCUGUU